AGGGGUAUAGCUCAAGUGGUAGAGCACAUGCUUAGCAUGCAUGAGGUCCUGGGUUCAAUCCCCAGUACCUCCU
rnacentral:tRNA from 1 species